AAUAUCUCAGCUAUUGGUAGAAUAAUAAUUCCACGGAAGCAGCUGAGUUUACAACUUGUCAACUAGGCAACCAUGUCUCACAAAUAACAACCCUAAACUGGAUGAUAACAACAGUACAUUUAUAAAACAUGAUUUCAAAGCUAAGAAUAUUACAAGCAGCAAAUCAUACAGAGCACACUUUCUUACAGACUGUUCCAAUAAUAAAUAUAUACACACAGAUUGACAAUCCAAGCCACGCAGCAGGAGUUAAAUCUCUUCUGUUAUUUUCUUUGCUUACUUAAAACACCAAACGAGAAGCACAUCAAAAGGACUGACGCCCUUCCAAGAUGAAACGGACACGGGUAAGAAAGCAUUGGCAUAUAGUAUACCCUAAUUGAAAGGCACAUGAUCGCAGGGUACUCAGAAAGGCCGUUCUUCAUUCUGUAGAUCAGACAGGGUCGUUCGUUGUUGAGAUCAGACCCAGUGUGGCGUCAGAAAGCGGCGUUCGGUUUGCUAGUGAGUUCCACUGGUUGUGCCGUGGCCACUGCUGACCGAGCCCCAGUUAGUUUCUCCACCUCCCAUCUGCACGGCAAUGCUGUCCAUCGACUCUGAGGUCCCACUUCUGUGACCCCAGCUUGAUCGUCUCGAAUGCAUACCAGCCCUACCUUCCAUGAGCUCAACUGGAAGGGCUUCUCUGCUGAGAUCAGGUGACGCAUGGGUUAUUCUGCCUUCUUUCUCAUCCAACAUGCCCCCAACUUCUAAAUCUCUUAUAUCAGCUCCUGACCGAGGUUCGUCCCAUGAUACUGGCUUCCUGCCCAAUUCAAGGUCUCCAACAGGUUUGCCCAUGUUUGGGCUCAUGAAGCCCCUGGUUGGUGGGCGUGAUUGCUGUAAACCUUGCUCUACUGGGACCCUAGCUCGGAAAUAAUUCUUGGAAGCGGGGACAGCAGUGCAGAAGAUCUCCAGAAAGUUGUUCACCACACCUACAUUAUAUGGGUUAGCCCGCCGGUCGUACCGAUACCUGAAGUUCUCGUAAGUAGUCUGCAAAGGUGAAAGAUUGGAUGAUUACCAAGUUGCGACAAAAUGCUUUAAAUAUCAGAAGUUUUAAAACAGAGGAAAGGGAAGCAACCUGGUUGGUGCUCAUCAGGUAGAAAUGGAAGACAGAAAGACCACCAACAAACCACACAC
rnacentral:lncRNA from 1 species